UACGGGGGGGGUAAGCGUUGUUCGGAAUUACUGGGCGUAAAGGGCGCGUAGGCGGCCUUCUAAGUCAGACGUGAAAUCCCCCGGCUUAACCUGGGAACUGCGUCUGAUACUGGGAGGCUUGAGUAUGGGAGAGGGAUGUAGAAUUCCAGGUGUAGCGGUGAAAUGCGUAGAUAUCUGGAGGAAUACCGGUGGCGAAGGCGGCAUCCUGGACCAUUACUGACGCUGAGGCGCGAAAGCUAGGGGAGCAAACGGG
rnacentral:rRNA from 1 species